rnacentral:rRNA from 1 species
AUACAUGCAGUAGAACGCUGAAGACUUUAGCUUGCUAAAGUUGGAAGAGUUGCGAACGGGUGAGUAACGCGUAGGUAACCUGCCUACUAGCGGGGGAUAACUAUUGGAAACGAUAGCUAAUACCGCAUAACAGCUUUUAACUCAUGUUAGGAGCUUGAAAGAUGCAAUUGCAUCACUAGUAGAUGGACCUGCGUUGUAUUAGCUAGUUGGUGAGGUAACGGCUCACCAAGGCGACGAUACAUAGCCGACCUGAGAGGGUGAUCGGCCACACUGGGACUGAGACACGGCCCAGACUCCUACGGGAGGCAGCAGUAGGGAAUCUUCGGCAAUGGGGGCAACCCUGACCGAGCAACGCCGCGUGAGUGAAGAAGGUUUUCGGAUCGUAAAGCUCUGUUGUAAGAGAAGAACGUGUGUGAGAGUGGAAAGUUCACACAGUGACGGUAACUUACCAGAAAGGGACGGCUAACUACGUGCCAGCAGCCGCGGUAAUACGUAGGUCCCGAGCGUUGUCCGGAUUUAUUGGGCGUAAAGCGAGCGCAGGCGGUUUAAUAAGUCUGAAGUUAAAGGCAGUGGCUUAACCAUUGUUCGCUUUGGAAACUGUUAGACUUGAGUGCAGAAGGGGAGAGUGGAAUUCCAUGUGUAGCGGUGAAAUGCGUAGAUAUAUGGAGGAACACCGGUGGCGAAAGCGGCUCUCUGGUCUGUAACUGACGCUGAGGCUCGAAAGCGUGGGGAGCAAACAGGAUUAGAUACCCUGGUAGUCCACGCCGUAAACGAUGAGUGCUAGGUGUUAGGCCCUUUCCGGGGCUUAGUGCCGCAGCUAACGCAUUAAGCACUCCGCCUGGGGGAGUACGACCGCAAGGUUGAAACUCAAAGGAAUUGACGGGGGCCCGCACAAGCGGUGGAGCAUGUGGGUUUAAUUCGAAGCAACGCGAAGAACCUUACCAGGUCUUGACAUCCCGAUGCUAUUCCUAGAGAUAGGAAGUUUCUUCGGAACAUCGGUGACAGGUGGUGCAUGGUUGUCCUCAGCUCUUGUCCUGAGAUGUUGGGGUUAAGUCCCGCAACGAGCGCAACCCCCUAUUGUUAGUUGCCAUCAUUAAGGUGGGGCACUCUACCGAAACUGCCGGUUAUAACCCGGAGGAAGGUGGGGGAUGAGGUCGAAUCAUCAAGCCCCCUUAAGAACCGGGGCUACCACCCGGGUUGAAAUGUUUGGU